rnacentral:rRNA from 1 species
CCUACGGGAGGCAGCAGUGGGGAAUAUUGCACAAUGGGGGAAACCCUGAUGCAGCGACGCCGCGUGAGCGAAGAAGUAUUUCGGUAUGUAAAGUCCUAUCAGUAAGGAAGAUAAUGACGGUAUUUAACUAAGAAGCUCCGGCUAACUACGUGCCAGCAGCCGCGGUAAUACGUAUGGUGCAAGCGUUACCCGGAAUCACUGGGCGUAAAGGGCGCGUAGGCGGGAUGGCAAGUCAGAUGUGAAAGCCUGGGGCUUAACCAUAGAACUGCAUUGGAAACUGUCGUGCUAGAGUAUGGGAGAGGUAGGUGGAAUUCUUGGUGUAGGGGUAAAAUCCGUAGAGAUAAAGAGGAAUACUCAUUGCGAAGGCGACUUGCUAGAACAUAACUGACGCUGAUGCGCGAAAGCGUGGGGAGCAAACAGGAUUAGAUACCCGUGUAGUC